UACGGGGGGGGCAAGCGUUGUGCGGAAUUACUGGGCGUAAAGGGCUCGUAGGUGGCCAACUAAGUCAGACGUGAAAUCCCUCGGCUUAACCGGGGAACUGCGUCUGAUACUGGAUGGCUUGAGUUUGGGAGAGGGAUGCGGAAUUCCAGGUGUAGCGGUGAAAUGCGUAGAUAUCUGGAGGAACACCGGUGGCGAAGGCGGCAUCCUGGACCAAUACUGACGCUGAGGAGCGAAAGCCAGGGGAGCAAACGGG
rnacentral:rRNA from 1 species